AGCACCAGCCCAGUGGACCAGCAGAGGGAGGAAGGGACUCUUUCUGUCCUUCUCGAAAGAAUUUCCAAUGGUAUGAAAACAUUCCCGGAUCCCCUCUGUGUGGUUGUCUCUUCAACUGGGUCUCUCACUAGAGGACCAUGCCGCUCCUGCUUUGCUCCCUUACAUCUGAGUCUGAACAAAGAAAAAUUCUCAAGGAAGGGGUUGUUAGUGAGUGUUUGACUUGGUGGGAAAGACUGACAUGUGGGCCGUGGGCCCCUCCUGUAGAUGGGGCCCACUCUAAGAACAAAGUAUGGGGCUCUUGCUCACCCCCCUUUCCCAGUAGACUUGUCAGUAGAAGAGGUUUGCAAGCCAUGGAAAGAAGUAAACAUCCCUUCAGCCUCAACUGGGCUUCUCAACUGUUCCUCUGGUAUUUCUUUCCCCAGUGGACCCACCCAUUCCCCAUAAGGUACAAAUAUUCAGUAUUUGUUUGUAUUUGUUGAAUUAAUAAAGAUGUAGUUUCUUAAGUGAUACUA